CUCGUAGGCGGUUCGUCGCGUCCGGUGUGAAAGUCCAUCGCUUAACGGUGGAUCCGCGCCGGGUACGGGCGGGCUUGAGUGCGGUAGGGGAGACUGGAAUUCCCGGUGUAACGGUGGAGUGUGUAGAUAUCGGGAAGAACACCAAUGGCGAAGGCAGGUCUCUGGGCCGUCACUGACGCUGAGGAGCGAAAGCGUGGGGAGGCGAACA
rnacentral:rRNA from 1 species